rnacentral:rRNA from 1 species
GUUCUGGCUGGACCUAACGAUACAGGUAUACGUCCCCGUUCCCCUCCUUAUUACUAACAGAUUUACAGGGCUGAGCUUUUAACUUUUGCUUUUAAUGCAGAGAUGGAGAAAAUAACAGUUAAAAGCAAUUACUAUUUAGUGUACCUUUUGUAUCAGGGUAGAAGGAAUAAAAUUUGUAUAAGUUUUUCCCGAAAGGAAUUUUUUGUUGGAUCUUAGUUAAGUAUAUGUUGAUGUUUAAUUAUCAUAUUUAAACUUAUUUAAGAUGUUAGAAGUAAUUCGGCUUUCCUUGAUAUCUGGUUGGAUAGUUAUAUUAAUUUUCAUACUAAUUUAUGUUGAUUUAUUUCUUCAGGGUUAAGCUUGGGGAAUUUAACGAUGUUAAUGGUUUUUUUAGAAGAAUGUUAAUAUUAAAAAAAAAUUUUCUCAUUCGUUUCAUUAUUCUAUUCUGUUCUCUAUAAUAUAAAAGGAUUAAUAAUAAUCUUCUAAUUAGUAGUUAUUGUUAAAUGGGUUUAAGGAACUAGGCAAAACGAAAUCUCGCCUGUUUAAUAAAAACAUGGCCUUAUGAUUUUUAUAUAAGGUCGGACCUGCUCAAUGCUUUAAUGUAAAUAGCUGCAGUAUUUUGACUGUACUAAGGUAGCGUGAUAAGUAGCUUUUUAAUUGGAAGCUGGAAUGAAUGGUUUGACGAAGUUUUAACUGUCUCAAAUCUAUAAAAUGAAUUUGAACUGCUGGUAAAAAUGCCUGCAUUUGAAAGUGGGACGAGAAGACCCUAAGAUCUUAACAAGAUAUUGAUAAUAUGUUGUCUUUAUUAUUGUUUCCCUGGGACGAGGAUAAAAUUUAAACUUUUAUUUAAAUAAAGAAAGUUAAUCGAUAAUAAACCUAAUGAAUGGUAAAGUUAAGUUACCUUAGGGAUAACAGUGUAAUUCUUUAAACUUAGUUCUAAUUUGUUUAAGAGCUUGCAACCUCGAUGUUGAAUUAAGUUUUCUUCUAGGGGUAUAAUCUUAGAAAGUUAGUCUGUUCGACUAUUAAAAACUUACAUGAUUUGAGUUUAGACCGACGUGAGUCAGGUCAGAUUCUAUCUACUUAAUAUACAUUUUUUUGUACGAAAGGAACAAAAAUGUUUACUUUUUGUAAUUU